rnacentral:lncRNA from 1 species
AAUAAAUAAAAGUUUGAAUACUAAAAUCAAAAUUUAAAAAAAUUAGAUGAUCAAUUCAUAAUAAUCAAUAUAUAUAUAUAUAUAUAUAUAUAUAUAUAUGUUUUCUGUACUUUCGAAAGUACGAAGACUUUCGUAUUUAUAAGUUAUUUUUGAUGACAUGACAUCUGAUUUGACGAUCGGUUCCAUUAAGUAUAAUUUAUAAUAUUGAAAUUAUUUAAAAAUUAAAUUUUAUACUUUUUCGAUAUUAUUUACCACGUGAUCAAAAGGUCUCAAAACUGACUAUUUUAACGGUCGACGUGACACGUUUUUAAAUUCAAUAGUAUAGAACAAUCCAGAUUAUAUGAAACUUUAAUAAAAAAUUUUACUUAAUAUCAAAGUAAGAUCAAUACUUCUGGAUUAAAAUUUGAGCUUUUUAUUACUAUUUUUUAUGAAAUUUUUAUUUUCAGCCGUUUAUUCUCCAGGUUAUUUGUUCGCUAGACAAAUAAAGUCAAAAAAAUGUAAAAUUUAAUUUUUUAAUAGUUUCAAUAACGUAGAUCAUGUUUAACUGAAUCGAUCACUGAAACGGAUGUCCCGUCAUCGAAAAUAACUUUCAAGCGCAGAAGUCUCCGUGCGCUCAAAAACACGCCAUUCCGAACGUGAAAUUCCCAAAAUGCCCCUAUCCCCUUCCAAAGAGCGAGAGAGAGAGAGAGAGAGAGAGAGAGAGAGAGAGAGAGAGAUGGACCUCGUAAAGGCGAACGACAUUAGGGUGCCGGAGCAUCUUCAGCGUCCCAAUCUCCCUCUUUAUCUAAAACCAAAUUCAAAAAAAAUUUUCAAAAAUUUCAAAUCUCACAUACGUAUACAUGUAUGCCUAUAUGUAUGUAUGUAUGUAUGUAUGUACGUAGGCGUGUAGAGGUAGGUACCUGGUCGUGGAUUUUCAGGUCGGAGCCGACGCGGGAGCGGAGGAUGAUCUUGAGGGCGAACCCGGCGCCGCCGGUGUCGGCGCGCCGCGCCGCCUUCACCUUCGCGAAGCUUCCUUCGCCGAUCGUCCGCCCGAUCAGGUACGGCCCCACCCGCAUCGCCUCCCCUCCGUCCAUCUCCCCCCGGGCCAGCGCCGACCAAUGCCCUCGCGACACGUACGUGCGACCGCCCUUCACCGGUUUACUCCCCACCCGUGUAUAUGCGUCGGAGCGACGAGGAGGACGCGUGGACUUUGCGAUUCGGGACGAGCGUCGUUGCGGAGGAAUGUGUGUGGGGGCGUGUAGAGAGGGGUGGGGGAGCUCGGAGUGUUAUUUAUAGGCGAGAAUGAGCUGAAACCCACCCUCAACUGUUGUUCUUUCUGAAAUUGGCCCCUCAUAGUUGGGAUAUUUUCUUUUUACUAUUCCAUAUUUUAAAGUAGGCCAAUUUGCAUAAAAAAUCCACUAGUUUUGAGCCUUUGCAAAUGCGGACCACUAUCUGGGCCAGAUUUUUCGCUGUCUGACUAAAAUGCCCUUCGUCUACAUCCGUCUCGCUCGAAUUCGCUCAGAUACGUAUACCAUAAUGUACGGCCCCUGGGCGGGCAUUAAAUGCGCCUCGAGUAUGGUUACGCAACCUCCCAGUCAUCAGAAUGCGAACAAAAUCGGCCCUGUUAUUCGCCGCCUCUUGUGUUUGCUAUUUGGUUUUUAGAAAUUAAAUAUGUUGAAACUAUAUGGCAAAAACUACACAGCCAACAACAAGAAUAAUAGUGCAACAUGAAAGGUACAACGCAAAGAGAAAUGAUGCAACAAUCCUUCUAAUAGUGCAGCUUGUAGCUCGCACCAGUGCAAUUUUUGCCACUCACAGUGCAACGCGAACAUUCAAUCUUUUUCUUUACCAGGACAACAUCUUACUCUCCUGUUAGGCAGUCUUCCUCCUAAACUGUAAGACGCUCUCCUCACCAGCGUCCUAUGCUGAUAAACCCCUUGCCCUUGUAAGGGCAAUAAAUGCGAUGCUGGCAUUCAAUCUUCAAAAAAAUAUAAAAUAACAUCUAAUAUGCUUUCUUAAACUUGAAAAAUAUCUAACAUGCUUCCGGUCGACCAAAAUAUUCUUUUUAAUUUCCACAACUUUUUAAAAAUAUUCUCAAAUUUCUAGAAUUUACUAAUGGAAUUUGGAAAUAGAAGCGUAUAUUGGUAAUUUGUAGAUAUAUUUGAAAAUUUGAAGAAUAAUUAGAGGGCAAAUAAGAAAUAGCUCCACUAAAACAUAUUAGAAAUAUAUUCUUAGACUAGUUAAAAAUUAUAUAUUUUAGUAUAAUGACUGUACAAUAUUUUUAUAAUUAGCGAUAAUGUCCGAUUAUCAUGUUAAAAUUAGAAUAUUAAUAACUAAUACUGUAUUUUUAUGAUAAGAAUUAGUUUUAUUCGUAGAUUAUAUAUGAUAAAAUUUAAUUUGCUUUGAUUCUGUAUGUGAUGUUUGCAAUUGUUGGGUUAAUAAGAAUGAUAAUUUUGAUUAGUCUACUAAUAUAUUUCUAAUUUUUGGAAAUAUGAAAAAUAUUAAAAGUUAAUAAUUUAUUUUAUUUAGGUAAGCUAAAAGUUUCAUGGAACUAAUUCAGCCAAUAAAUUUUAAGAUUUAUUUAAAAUUUUAUAAAAUUGCCAAUACUAUUUAAUAAACUAUAGUUACUCAAUUUUACUAAAUAAAAAAAAUUAAAAGGUGUUGGCUUAAAAAAAAAAAGCUAAGUCAAAAGGAGGCUGUUUUGAAGAAUCCUAUAGUAGAGGGGGUCUUCGUGCAUUUUUACCUAUGAUUGGUGGUGGAUCAGGGGAGUGAGGUACAGUCACUCGUGGUGUACGAUCACCGCUUAUUGUUGCCGAUUUUAACGUGUUAAAAUUAAGGGAAAACUUCAAAAACCCCAUUGUGGUUUUACUUUUUUUCACUUUAGUACUCUGUGGUUUAAAAUGUAUCAAGUUAGUAUCUGUAUUUUCUCACUUUAUCACUUUAGUAUCCUGUGGUUUAAAGUGUACCAAGUUAGUAUCUUGUGGUUUUGCACUUUAUCACUUUAGUAUCAUGUGGUUUCGCACUUUAUCACUUUAGUACCCUGUGGUUUAAAAAUUAUAGGGUACUAACUUGAUACAAAAAUAAAACCAUAGGGUACUAACGUGAUACAAAAAUAAAACCACAGAGUACUAACUUGAUACACUUUAAACCACAGGAUUCUAGAGUGAUAAAGUGAGAAACCACAAGGUACUAACUUGAUACACUUUAAACCACAGGGUACUAAAGUGAAAAAGUGCGAAACCAUAUGGGGUUUUUUGAAGUUUUUCCUAAUAUUAAUGAUGAUCUGUUUCGUUAAAUAUAAUUCAUAAUAUAUAGAAUUUUGGGGAAUAAAAUUUUAAUUUUUUUAACAUCGUUUAUUUAUUUAGUAAGUAAAUCAUAUCAAAAUAAACAAUAAAAAUUGAGCAAAUUUUAAAAUUUGGUUAUAGGAUUUUUGAAUUAAGGAUCAAAGAUGUUGACCUUGAUCUAGAUAAUUUAAAGUAAUUACUACCAAAAUUUGAAUAAAUUAAAAUUUUUUACGCUGUCAAACUACAAACUCACGAUAAUAGCCAUUGAAAUUUGAUAAUUUUGAAAUGAUUUGAUCAUAAAGUAAACUAUGCGGAAAAAAAAUAAAAUUUUAUUUCUAGAAACUUCAAAAUAUCUCAUAUUAGUUUUAACGGUGUGGAUCAUUAAUUUACACAUUCUAAAAUUUAAAAAAAAAGAUUAUAAUUUUGGAACUCUGGUACUAUAGAUAGUAUAUGAGCCUAUAUAUAUAUAGAGUUCGGCUACUAUACUUUUAUGAGUUCGAUCGCCCUUAUACUCAUAAGUUGUUUUCGAUAAUAAAGCUUCCAUAUCAACAAUCCACAUCGUUGAACUUUAUUUAGAGCAUUUAAAACGCCUAGAAAUCAAAUUUUAUAAUUUUUCGGCAUCAUUUACCUUACGAUCAAAAGGUCACAAAAUUGACAAGUUUUAACAGCCGAUAUGGGAUAUUUGCUAGUUUAACGGUGUGAAAAAAUCGAAAUCGGUUGAAUUGUUGAUAAAAAGUCCUAUUCACUACAUAGAUAAAGAUCAAUAACUCCGAUCUUAAAUUGAAAGAUCCGAUCAUCCAUUUUUAAGAUAUCGUUUGAUUUUGACCGUUUAUUUUAUACCGCUUGAUGAACUUUAUUAUGAUUUCGAAAAAUUACGAAAUUUAUUUUCUAGAAGUUUUAAAUACUGUAGAUCAUAUUUAACGGAGUUGAUCGUUGAUUCGAAAGCUCUAUCAUUAAAAAUAAUUUAUGAGUAUGAAGGGCUCUAUACUUAUAAGAGUAUAGUAGCCCUAGCUAAUAUAUAUAUAUAUAUAUAUAGAGAGAGAGAGAGAGAGAGAGAGAGAGAACUGAGCUCCUAUGCUUUUAAAAGUACCAAGUUAUUGGUGCUUGUAGAUUUGUAGCCAUUAGAUUAAGAGAUAUGCGAUUAGAAUGAUGUGGGCCUCCUAGGGUUGAGUGGGUGGUUGGUUGAAUAGUAUAAUCUAAUGGUUGAAAAUGAUCCGAGAAGUAGAUCUAACGGUAAAAAACUUACAAGCACNAUAUAUAUAUAUAUAUAUAUAUUCCACACACCAUUAGGCGGUGAGGAUACCGCGUGGGUGGUGUUAGUGGGUGAGAAUAAGACAAAAGAUAUAAUAGAAAAAAAAUAUUUUUAAAUUACAACAAAUAUUGAAUUAUCCUUAUAUACAGUAACUAGUUGUUCUAUUUUAUUUUUUAUUUUUUUUCGUUGAAUUCGGUUUAGGGGCAGAAACGAGCCGAGUCUGAGUGAGCUUAAUUUGACUUGAAAUUAAUUUCGAACCUAAAUUUAGGCUUAAGCUUGACAUGAAAUUGAUUUGAACCCAGCUCAGGCGAGCCUACUUUUGAGUUGAGCGUGAUCAAACUCUAAAUGAGUCGCUUAAAAUGCUCAAUAUCAUGCUAUCUAUAGUUUAAUUUUUAAUAAAAAAUUAUCUAAAAUUUGGUAGAAAAACACAUCUAAUAGUUUAAUACAUAAAAUAAAAGCCUGAAUAUGCUAUUAUAAUAUUAAGAAAAAUAAUUUAGGAUAAGCGACUAUGCGAGUAAGUGAAAGAGAGGGAGAGAGAGAGAUUAAAGUUUUACUGAUUUAGUAUUGUGGGCCAACAAAUAUAUAUGCCCAAUAACCAAAAUUCUAUAUACAUAUAAUUAAAAUUAUAUAUAUAUAUAUAUAUAUAUAUNUAUAUAUAUAUAUAGUCCAGCUAUGGUGCUUGUAAAAGUACCAAAUAUUUGGUGCGUGUAAGUUUUUUACCGUUAGAUCUACUCGGAUCAUUUUCAACCAUUAGAUUAUACUAUUCAACCAACCACCCACUCAACCCUAGGGGGCCAACAUCAUCCUAACCGCAUAUCUCUUAAUCCAAUGGCUAAAAAUCUACAUGCACCAAUAACUUGGUACUUUUAAAAGUAUAGGAGCUCAAUUAUAUAUAUAUAUAUAUAUAUAUAUAUAUAAUUAAAAUAUGUUAUAUAUAAUUAUAUAUAUUUAUACAUAUUUUUAUAAUAUAUAUAUAGAGAGAGAGAGUGCAGCUGCUAUACUAUUGGCGACACUAAACGCUUUGUGUUAUUAAGUUUUCCGUCAGUAGAUCUAUCAUUUGACCAUUUCCAUCCGUUAGAUCAUAAUAUUCAACCAACCACCCACUCAAUCCAAAAGGACCACAAUCAUUCUAACAGCACAUCCUUUCAUCCAAGAGCUGAAAAUUUAAUAGCAUCAAUAACUUGGCGUUAUCAAUCGUACAGUAGCCUAAUUCUAUAACAUCAAUAGUAUAUAUAUAAAACUAGAGUACUAUACUAUUGAUAGCACCAAGCUAUUGAUGCUAUUAGGUUUUCGACCUUUGGAUGAAGGGAUGUGCGGUUAGGAUGAUAGUGGUACCCUAAAAUUGAGUAGGUGGUCAGUUGAAUAUUAUAAUCUAACAUGUAAAAAUGGUCAAAUAGUAGAUCUAAUGACGAAAAACUUAAUAGCACCGAGCAAUUGGUACUAUUGAUAGUAUAGUAGCUGAACUCUCUCUCUCUCUCUCUCUAUAUAUAUAUUCAAACUUUUUGAGUCUAAUUCGAGUGAACUUAGUAAUACUUAAGCUCGGCUUGAAAUAAAUUUUGAAUUUUUUUUUGUUCAAAUUCGGCUUAUUUAAUUUGGAGUAGAGCUCGAGUGAGCUGAAAUCGAGCCGCACACAAGCCGACUUGCUCAUUUGCCAACCCUAACUUGGCUUAAGUUUUUUAAUUUAAUAAAAAUACUAGUGGAGGAUCGAAUGUCUAACCAACCAUUCAGAUCCAUGAUAAAUUUGAAGACUAACAGCUCAAAUUUUUAAAAUUAAUAAUUAGUGCCAACAAAUAAUUAAUUAUUAAUAUUUAAAAUUUAAAAUCUAAUUCAGUAAAUCGUAUUUGUAUCAUCUAAAAAAAUUAUAUAUUUUAAAAUUUAUUAAUAAUGCGUCCAGCGGUUUUAGAAAUCAAUUGUAGAAAAGGACCCUCAUCUAAAUUGCAAGAUUCAGUGUAUAGAAUACAUAAUUUUAUAAAUAUAUAUAAAAUAUCAUAAGAUAUUUCCAGUAAGUUUUUGGUCAGUACACAGAGAAUGAUUUAGCUACGCAUGAUCUAAUCAUUUCUAAAUUGUUUCUUACUAAAUUAUUUUUUGUCACUUUACAUAUGAAUGCUUAUGACCUAAGAAUUUGAAGCAAUGUGCAUUGUGAAUUCUAUUUAAAAUAUGUAUUAAGACUCCUCAACCAUAAGGAAUUUUCAAAUAGUAUAUAUUUUUUUUAUUGAGAUUUCCUCACCUUUUUUCAAAUUCUUUUUAUUGUUCAGGGAUGUUAACAAAUAAAUUGAUUGACAAUUUUUUAAUUAACUUGGAUUAGGAAACUGCUAAUAGCUUAUUAAGGCAGAGUCUUAAAACAUGUUGGAUCGUUGGCGCUAACCGUUAAUCCCAAAAAUUCGAACGGUUAAAAAUACACAACCAAUUCACUUAAAGUAUAAAAUAUAAUAUUUACGGAUAUCGAUUGUGACUCGGCCUAACCAGCCUCACACCAUUUUGAACAUGACUCGACUCAAUCCAGCUCCACACCAUUUCGAACGUGACUCGGUCUAAUUUGGCCUUCCACUAUAAGGUAGGAUGUUGGCCUAUUUAAGCCCACAACAAAAAAACGUUUAACUUAAUUAACUGUGAAAACUCAAAGUAAAAAAAUUUGAAGUUAAAAAGAUGUCAGCUAAAAAAAAAAAAAAGGGGGGGGGAAGAGGAGGCUAUUUCAGAAUGACUUAUAGUUGAGGGGGUUUUUCAUACUUUUUUCUAACUUCUAAUUUACAAAACAAAGUAUUUAAAUAACUAGCUAGGUUUCAAUAUGGAUUUUGGAACUAUAUGUUAACAAAUAGUUAAUGUAGGAAUCUCUCAAAAAAAUAAGUAAUGUAGGGGUCCUCUCUAUUUUCAACAUGAUUAUCAUGAUGUGAUUGUGUGAAUUGAGAGAUACUUAAUCCCAUGUAAACCAAACUUUUUAAAAUCUGUUUCCACUGUGCAUAAAGCAUCAUUUAUUAAUAUCUAAGAUGCUGAAAAUAGGAGUUUAAUUCUAUUAUGCCAAAGUACAAGGGGAGAUGGAACCACCGACCUCAAAGAUGUUAAUGUGGGUAUAGUUUUCAAACUGGCAAGGACCAAUAAUAGACACUUUUAAAAUAAAGUUAAGAUUAUUUUCGAGAGGUAAUAAUCUUUAUUUCAUUUCAGCAAGAUCAAUAUAUAUAUUUGAUCGAAAAUUUUAACGCUAUAUCACCACUUUUUAUGAGAUUUUUAUUUUUAGCCGUUGAUUUUGAACCCUUUCGAUCGCUAGGAAAAUGAUACUGAAAAAUCACAAAAAAUAUUUUCUAGCUCCAUCAUUAAAAACGGCUUAGGAGCACGGAGGCCUCCGUGCUCCUAAUAGCAUACAAGACCUACUAUAUAUAUAUAUAUAUAUAUAUAUAUANNNNNNNNNNNNNAAAUGCAAUUGUUCGGUUUUCCACAAUUUUUGAUUUGGGACCCACAAAAAGAAUUUGUGGGAUUUGUUUCCAUUUAAGCAAUUGUGGAUGGUAUUUAACCACACGACAAGUAUGUAAAUCGACAAUCUAUUAUUAAUUACUUACAUUGUGAGAUCACUCCACCUGAUUUUUUUUGUCUAAUGAUCCUUAAAUGCAUUCAAAUUAAUGGUGGUAUUAUUAUUUUUGACAAGCAACAUGCUUUCGCAUAGCCCCACUAUCAACUAAACAUUGUUUUCAACCAUGUGUUAUUGGCUAUUUGAAGCCUCAGUUGCAUGUCAUUAUCUAUAUCUUGUGUGAUUCUAUAUAUAUAUAUAUAUAGUCCGUCUCCCAUACUUUCGAAAGUACGGGAGACUCCGUGCUUGUAAGUUGUUUUCGAUGAUAGGACGUUCGAUUAAUUCGACGAUCGGCUCCGUUAGGUAUGAUCUACCCUAUUGAAACUAUCUAGAAACCAAAUUUUAGAUUUUUUUGACAUCAUUUACUAAGCGAUCAAAAUGUCUAAAAAAUGAUUAUUUUAACGGUCGAUGUGGCACAUUUUUAAGUUCAACGGUUUAGAAGUAUCCAAAUUAAAUGAAAAUUUAAUAGCACACAAGACCUACUAUAUAUAUAUAUAGUAGGUGCUUGUAAGUUUUUUACCGUUAGAUCUACUCCUCGAAUCAUUUUCAACCAUUAGAUUAUACUAUUCAACCAAACACCCACUCAACCCUAGGGAGCCCACAUCAUCCUAACCACACAUCUUUUAAUCCAAGGGCCGAAAACUUACAAGCACCAAUGAUUUUGUACUUUUAAAAGCAUAGGAGCUCAAUUCUAUAUAUAUAUAUAUUAUAUUAAUAUAUAUAUAUAUAGUUUGAGUUAGAAUAUUAUCGAUAGCAAACGAGUUCUGUUGCCACCAUUUGUUUUCGAUGAUAGAGCCUCCAAAUCGACGAUCGCACAUUAACAUGAUCUAUACCACUUGAAGUGUUUAGAAAUUAAAUUUCAAAUCUUUUCGACAUCAUUUGCCUAAUGAUCAAAAUGUUUCAAAAUUUAUAAUUUUAAUGGUCGAUAUGAGGCGUUUUCUCGUUUAACGGUGUAAAAAUAUCCAAAUCAAUUAAAUUUUUGUUAGAAAAUUCUUUAAACUAUUUAAAACAAGAUCUAUACUCUUGAUCUUGAUUACAAGACUCCUAUCAUCAUUUUUUAAAGAAUAUUUAUUUUCAGCCGUUCAUUUUUGUGUCCACUCGAUGAAUAAGAGAAUAAUAUCGGAAAUGUAUGAAAUUUAAUUUCUAAACACUUCAAGUGGUAUAGAUCACAUACAACGGUGCCGAUCAUCGAUUUGAAGGCUCCAUCAUAAAAAACAAAUGGAUUGCAACGGAGCUUGUUUGCUAUCGAUAGUAUUCUAGCUCAACUCUAUAUAUAUAUAUAUACUUUAUAAAAUAAUAUUAAAAUUUUAAAAAAUAAAUUAAAAACAUUUAAGCGUUUUGGGUCGAGCGUCGUGCUAGAUUUUGGACCGAAGAAUGAUGGCUCGGCCCAACGUGGCCUGUAUCUGGAUCCGAACAGUAUCAAGCCGCCUCUAGAUUAGGACGUUCUUGUCCGGCACGGUCCACGCUACACCCCUACUCUUUUAUUAUUAAGAUCUUAACUCCGGUCCCCCUUCCCCAACUAAUUAACCUACCCUUUGAUUUGUGUGUCCAUUUAAUAAUCAAUUCUUUGCCCUGCAAUUUGAAGGACAUUACAUGUAAAUGGAUUGCCAUUAGACAAAUUAAGCUCCUAUACUUUCCACAACUACACACUAUUCCUUAGACCUAGUGUAGCAUAGUCGUGCCAUUGAUCGCUCGCUGUUUGACAGUAAAUGUUAAACAUAAGAUAGAUUAUUAGAGAGUUGAUAGCUGACAUGGCGAACUAGUUCUAGAUAAUAAUUUCGUACCUAGCACAACAUUAAAAAGUGGCAUAGCCCGUAAACAGUACAAAAGAAACAGAUAAAUACUGACUGUACCUAGCGCAAGUGGUAAAGAAUUUGGUGGUUGAUAUCCGAGGUUCUAAGUUCGAAUUCUAGUUGAUUCACAUUUCCAGCUAAAUUUAUUUCUAAAUGAAAUAAACAAACCGGAUAAUAUGCUAUCUAUCUCUCUCAAGAAAAAAAAAAGACUCUGAUAAAGGAUAGUAAUUUCAACCACUAACUCACCAACACGAUCGGAAUUGCAAAGUACAUAAGUUAAUGGUUGUUAAUGUCCAUAUAUAACUUAAUGAGACUAAUUCAACCCACUAACCCUUUGACACGCCUAAUUUUUUUUUUUAUCUCUCAUUAAUUGAUGCACUCUUUAUCUACUCCAACAUCUUUCAAUGAAUGAGAUGGAAAGGACCUCUACAAAAAAUAUAAUUUUUUCCGAUUAAAUUAAAGCUCAAUUCUCUUGCUAUAUAAAGAGUAAUGAACAUGUAACUCAAGCUAUGCAAUUGUAGCAAAAACAUGGGUUUUGUGGUGACCAAGUCUAAACCUUUCUUAGUUGCCCCAUCAAAACCAACCCCUAGGGGGAAACUCCCUCUCUCUCCGAUUGACAAGAUCCAACUUUUGAGAUCCUUUCUUAUUCCAUCAAUACAUGUUUUCGCGCAUGGCGGCAGAGGCAACGACGUUGAGAUAGUUAAGACGAUAAGGCAGGCAGCAUCGGAAGCACUAGUUCUGUAUUACCCGCUUGCGGGUCGGCUCGUGGAUGUAGAGGGCAGGGACCUCUACGUUGAGUGCACCGGAGAAGGAGUAGGCUUCGUCGAGGCGUCGGUGGAUUGUAGCUUGGAGAAUGCGAAUUUCUUGGAACACCCUUCUGUGAUCUCGUUGGAAGAGCUCGCAGUAGAUCAUCGCGGUUGGAAAGUAACUGAUCCCCCUGUCAUUAUGCAGGUAUAGUAUGACUACAUAUGCUGUAAAUAGUGGCGUGAAAGUGCAGUUGUCAGUUCUGAAUCAAAGUACAAAUGAAUUCGAUUGAAUCUUCAAUCAUCAGUUUGCUAGUGUAUUCUUCACCUAUAUAUUGUACAUUAUUCGCGUGCACGAGUCCUCCAUAAUCUCGCAAACUUGGACCGUUCGAGCCCAAAUCAUAAUGGGUGCAUGGGCUCGAUGUCAUUGUUAGGCCCGGUCUGGAAUUAAAACAAGUCGGGUUUGGAUUUGGAUUUCGUUCUCAAAAACCUGGCUCGAGGCCUAUGAUGAUCAAGUCUCUUAAUUUAUGAGUAAUCUCUUUUGGUGUGUUUUGUUAGUAAGCUUGCAUAUUACUUACUUUCACCAUGCUUAGGUAACCGAAUUCACUUGUGGCGGAUUCGCCGUCGGCUUUACAUGGCACCACUCACUCGCCGACGGCAUUGGAGUCGCGCAAUUCUUGAAUGCCGUAGGUGAGCUCGCUCGGGGCCUCCCGCGCCCGACCAUCGACCCGGUUUGGGCCAGGGGUUCUCUCCUCGAUCUUCGCCCAAAUAUUUCCUCAUUACCUUCAUCGACUCCGAACUUACUCGAGUUGGAGUGCGCCGAGCUGAACGUGCCCUUAGAUUACAUCAAUCGAACUAAGGAAAACUUCUUUCGCCAAACUGGGCAAUCGUGCACCGCAUUUGAUGUGGCCUUGGCCACAAUUUGGCAGUUUCGAACACGGGCAAUAGGCUUAGAACCUACCGAACCAGUGCGGGUGUAUUUCGCGGUGAAUGUUCGCGAAAUGCUACAAGCUCAACCUGGCUACUACGGAAAUAGCAUUUUCUUCCAAACUAUCUCAUCGACUAGUCAGGAGAUUGCAGAGGCACCCACGGUUGAGAUUAUUAAAAUCAUUAGAUAUGCCAAGGGUACGAUUUCGACCGAACUAGCUAAAUGGAAGAAGGGCUUACUGAAAGACAGCCCUAUGCAGUAUGUUGAUCUCAGCUACAGCACGCUUGGCAUAACUUAUUGGAAAAAUUUAGGGUUCGAGCACGUCGAUUAUGGAUCGGGUAAGCCGCUUUGGGUAACCGUACAUAACGAAUAUAAAUUCAUCUCCUUCUGCAUGCUAGGCUUACCGUAUACUCGCAAAAAUGGGGUUUAUAUAAAUGGGCGCAUUGUUAAGAAGGAGCACUUAGAGGCAUUACGCGAAGAAAUGAAGCUGCUAAAAUAAUUUCAGCGGAAAGAGAUUUUUCAUCACCAAUAAUACGAAUAUUUUGUACCGACGAAUUAGUUCGAUCGCCUUACGAUCAGAAAUUAAUAAAUGCCUUGUAAUUUUUAGGGAUUCUCUAUAUAACUCUGUAAAAGGAGUACGUGCACGCAUAUAUGCAUGGCAUGCACAUUUAUGUAUCUAAUAUAUAUUUUAUUUGUAGCACACAAAAAUUUAAAAAAAANNNNNNNNNNNNNNNNNNNNNNNNNNNNNNNNNNNNNNNNNNNNNNNNNNNNNNNNNNNNNNNNNNNNNNNNNNNNNNNNNNNNNNNNNNNNNNNNNNNNNNNNNNNNNNNNNNNNNNNNNNNNNNNNNNNNNNNNNNNNNNNNNNNNNNNNNNNNNNNNNNNNNNNNNNNNNNNNNNNNNNNNNNNNNNNNNNNNNNNNNNNNNNNNNNNNNNNNNNNNNNNNNNNNNNNNNNNNNNNNNNNNNNNNNNNNNNNNNNNNNNNNNNNNNNNNNNNNNNNNNNNNNNNNNNNNNNNNNNNNNNNNNNNNNNNNNNNNNNNNNNNNNNNNNNNNNNNNNNNNNNNNNNNNNNNNNNNNNNNNNNNNNNNNNNNNNNNNNNNNNNNNNNNNNNNNNNNNNNNNNNNNNNNNNNNNNNNNNNNNNNNNNNNNNNNNNNNNNNNNNNNNNNNNNNNNNNNNNNNNNNNNNNNNNNNNNNNNNNNNNNNNNNNNNNNNNNNNNNNNNNNNNNNNNNNNNNNNNNNNNNNNNNNNNNNNNNNNNNNNNNNNNNNNNNNNNNNNNNNNNNNNNNNNNNNNNNNNNNNNNNNNNNNNNNNNNNNNNNNNNNNNNNNNNNNNNNNNNNNNNNNNNNNNNNNNNNNNNNNNNNNNNNNNNNNNNNNNNNNNNNNNNNNNNNNNNNNNNNNNNNNNNNNNNNNNNNNNNNNNNNNNNNNNNNNNNNNNNNNNNNNNNNNNNNNNNNNNNNNNNNNNNNNNNNNNNNNNNNNNNNNNNNNNNNNNNNNNNNNNNNNNNNNNNNNNNNNNNNNNGUCAACUCACACAUCCUCAUUGAAAGUUCCCUACAUUAUCAGAUCAAAUCAUUAUUCACAAGCUACUUGAUGUGGUAAAUUAGAAAAGAAACUAAAUUAAAAAAGAAAUAACACUUAGGCCUCAUUUCGAAUGCACCCUCUGAGCGCAACCACUUUGAUUCUUUAGAGUCCGAAGUCUCCAAAAUCCCCAAAUUCCCACUGCCAUUUUGUAAAGCAGUGGAGCUCUAAAGCGCUUUAGGGAUUUUGGGGGCUCCAAAGCAUCAAAAUGAAUGUGUUUCAAGAUCGAAAUACGAACUAGGACUUAAACUCACAGUUUUCUCCACCCCGGCGCACUUGAAGAGGGCAUUGCCAUGCUCGCUGGGGGAAAGGGAUUUGGUGGCAGGUGGGAGAGGGCGGCGUCGAGGGAUCGGAGGACUGAGAGACAGUGGCCGAGGAUGAGGGCGACGUCAAGGCUGCGGCAACGACGGUUUCAACCCACUAACUCACCAACCCGAUCUGAAUUGCAAAAAUAUAUAACUUAAUAGUUGUUACUUGUCGGUGUCUGUUUGGCCUAGAUUCUGAAUAAUGAAAAAAAUUAUUUGUCCUUAACCUAGCAAUACACAACCAACAUUAUUAUAUCUUGCAAUCAGGCAAGAAAAAAUUUUAAUUUAAUUUAUAAUCUUAGUUUUCAGAUAUAUAUGUACGGACUUAAACCUUUUGUUAGAUCCAACUCAAAUACGUAUCCUACACCCUUUAACACCCUUAUUUUUUUUAUGACGAAAAUGACUUUCUCCCUCUUCACUUUCGCCCAACCACCAUUCAAUGAAUGUGAUGAAACCAAAAAAUAAAAAUUCUUUUGAUUAAAUUACUAUAUAAAGAGUAAUGAACAAGUAACUCAAGCAAUGCAAUACUAGCAAAAACAUGGGUUCUGUGGUAACCAAGUCUAAACCUUUCUUAGUUGCCCCAUCCAAACCAACCCCUAGGGGGAAACUCCUCUUCUCUCCAAUUGACAAGAUCCAAAUUUUGAGAUCCUUACUUGUUUCAUCUGUACAUGUUUUCGCACACACGGACGGCGGCGGCAGCGUUGAGAUUGUUAAUACGAUAAGACAGGCAAUAUCGGAAGCUCUAGUUCUGUAUUACCCGCUUGCAGGUCGACUCGUGGAUGUAGGGGACGGGGACCUCUACAUUGAAAGCACUGGAGAAGGAGUAGGCUUUGUCGAGGCAUCGGCGGAUUGUAGCUUGGAGGAUGUGAAUUUCUUGAAGCACCCUUCUGUGAUCCCGUUGGAAGAGCUGGUAGUAGAUCAUCGCGGUUGGAGAGUAACCGAUCCUCCCGUCGUUAUGCAGGUUUCGUAUGAAUACAUGGGUUCAUUAAUUCCUUAACUGCGUGAAAAGAGUUGUAAAUAGUGGCGUGAUAAGUGUAGUUGUUAGUUCUAGUUAGAGUACAAAUGAAAUAAGUCAUAAAUAAAUUAGAUUGAGUCUUCAAUCGUGUGUUUACUAGUUGAUUCACAUUUUUAGCUAAAUUUAUUUCUAAAUGAAAUAAACGAAACGGGUAGCGUGCUACCUAUAUAUAUUUAUGACUAAUCUUUUGGUGUAUUUGCAUAGAUAACCAAAUUCACCUGCGGCGGAUUCGCCCUCGGCUUUGCAUGGCACCACUUACUCGCCGAUGGCACCGGAGCCGCGCAAUUCUUGAAUGCCGUAGGCGAGCUCGCCCGCGGCCUCCCACACCCAACCGUCGACCCGGUUUGGGCCAGGGAUUCUCUCCUCGAUGUUCCCCCGAAAAUGUCCUCAUUACCUUUAUCGACUCCGAACUUACUCCAGUUAGAGUACUCCGAGCUGAACAUUCCCUUAGAUUACAUCAAUCGAACUAAGGAAAACUUCUUUCGACAAACUGGGCAAUCGUGCACCGCAUUUGACGUGGCCUUGGCCACAAUUUGGCAGUGUCGAACACGGGCAAUAGGCUUAGAACCUACCGAACCAGUGCGGGUGUAUUUCGCGGUGAAUGUUCGCGAAAUGCUACAAGCUCAACCUGGCUACUACGGAAAUAGCAUUUUCUUUCAAACCGUUUUAUCGACUAGUCAGGAGAUUGCAGAGUCACCCAUGGUUGAGAUUAUUAAAAUCAUUAGAUCUGCCAAGGGUACAAUUUCGACCGAACUAACUAAAUGGAAGAGGGGCUUACUGAAAGACAGUCCAAUGGAGCAUGUUGAACUCAGCUACAACACACUGGGCAUAACUUAUUUGAAAAAUUUAGGGUUCGAGCACGUUGAUUAUGGAUCGGGAAAGCCGCUUUCGGUGACCGUACGUAAUGAAUAUAAAUUCGUCUCCUUCUGCGUGCUAGGUUCACCGCAUACUCGCGAAAAUAGGGUUUACAUAAAUGGGCGCAUUGUUAAGAAGGAGCACUUAGGGGCACUACGCAAAGAAAUGGAGCUGUUAAAAUAAUUUCAGAGGAAAGAGAUUUUUCAUCACCAAUAAUACGAAUGUUUUGUAUCGACGAAUUAGUUCGAUCGACUUACGAUCAGAAAUUAAUAAAUGCCUUGUAAUUUUUAGGGAUUCUCUAUAUAACUCUGUAAAAGGAGUACGUGCACGCAUAUAUGCAUGGCAUGCACAUUUAUGUAUCUAAUAUAUAUUUUAUUUGUAGCACACAAAAAUUAAAAAAAAAAAUGAAAUUUGUUAUGGUAAUUACUUGUGUUUAUUUCUUUGCUUUACAAUUAAUAGAGGAAUUUCAAAACUAUAUGCUUAAAUUCAACAUCAUAAAGCAUACCCAAUAUGCAUGUGUAACACACGUACGUACCCAACUAUUUAUUUCAUUAACGGGCUUGGAUUUGGAUUUAGUUCUCAAAAGCCUGGCUCAAGCCCGGCCCGGCCCGGCUCAUGAAGAGGUUUAUUUAUGCCUAAUCUUUUGCAAUAUUUUGUUAAUUAGUGAGCUUACAUAUUAGUUAAUUUCGCUAUGCUUAGGUAAAGGCAUGGCACCAUGCACUCACUUGCCGACGGCAUUGGAGACGCGCAAUUCUUGACCGCCGUUGGCGAGCUAGCUCGUGAUCGAUCGUCGGCCUGGUUUGGGCCAGGGAUUCACUCCUCGAUCUUUCCCGGAAAUUUUCCUUGUUACCUUUAUCAACUCCGAACUUACUUUAGUUAGAGCACACCGAGCUAACCUAACCAUAUCAUUAGAUUACAUCCAUGGAACGAAAGAAAACGACUUUCCACAAACCCUGCAAUCAACUUAAGAGAUCUAGUGGUGAAUUUCAUUAGGCCAUUAUAUAUGGGGGUUAACAUAUAUAUAUAUAUAGUGAGAGAGAGAGUUAGUCUCCUAUACUAUCUAUAAUACCGGAGCUCCAAUACUAUAAUUUCGUUUAUGAUCUCCCAUAUAUACAUAUAUAAAAUAAAGGUAAACAUGUACGAAGGCCCUCAACCAUAAGAAAUUUUGAAAUAGUAUAUAUUUUUUAUUGAGAUUUCCUCCUCUUUUCUUUUCAAUUUUUUUAGAGUUGAGGUAUCUUAGCCAAAUAAAUUGAUUGAUAAUUUUUUUUAUCAAAUUGGAUUAACUAACUGCUAAUAGCUUAUUGAGGAGAAUUCAAAAAACGUUUAACUUAAUUAACUGUGAAAACUCAAAUUAAAAAAUAAAAAUGAAGUUAAAGAGGUGUCAGCUAGGGGUGUAAACGAGCCGAACACGAGCGAGUUAGGGCCGGCUCAUAUUCGGCUCGUUGCAUAAAGAGUUAAAAGAUUAAAAUUAAAGAAUAUAUAUAGAAAAUAAAUUUACGAGAUCUUAUCGAUUAGAUUUUGAUAUAAUAGUUAAAACUUUACACAUAAUUAAAUAGACAUUUUUAUCAUUGAGUUGAGUUUUAUAUUUAGGUUAGCCUAGAAUCAAAUAGUAAAAAUCUAAAUUAUAUAAAUAAUUAUUUAUUUAUAUUAUAUUUAAAUAAAUUAUAUAAAUAUAAAAUAAAUAUAUUCAAGCUGUUAUCGAACCGAACAUAAGCAAGUUAACCACGUACAACUCGUGUUUGACUCGUUAUUAAACGAGUUGAAAAAUUAAGUUCAUAUCCGACUCAUUUACUAAAUGAUCAAUUCGAUUUCGAGCUCAUUUCGUGCCGAACGCGAGCUGGCUUGCAAACAACAAACUAGAUUGCCACCCCUAGUGCCAUACAGCCAGAAAAAAAAGAGGACAAAACUAAAGGUGAGGGGGCUCUUUCAGAAGGACUUAUAGUUGAGGGUGAUACUUUUGUUUUAACUUAUAAUUUGCAAAACAAUGUAUUUAGAUACCCUCCAAAUGGGUUUCAAUAUGGAUUUUGGAACUGUACGUAUGUUAUUAAAUAAUUAAUGUAGGGUCCUCUCUAUUUUCAACAUGAUUAUCAUGAUUUGAUUGUCUGAAUUGAGGAAUCCUAAUCCAAUGUAAACCCAACUUCUUAAGAUCUUUUUCCACCAUGAAUAAAGCAUUAAUUGUUAAUUAGUGUUUUUUUUUUUCCCUAUUCGGAAUUUGUUGUACGCACGUCUUUGCAGUAAAUAGUAAAAAUAUUCCGUGUUAUCAUUUUUUUUUCAACUUUAUAAAUGAUUAUCUUUGUAAUUCAUAUUUAUUUUAUUACUAAAUUGUUUAUUUUUACUAUUAAUUAUACAUGUUAUUUUCAAGCAGGAUCUUCCGGACCUUAUCAUCGACUUGAGUGGAUUUUCAAAGUGGCACAAUGGGGCUUAAGGACUUAGAAUUUAAGAUUUUUAGGUAUUUAGUAUCAUUUAGAAUUUGUUAUUGUUUGGCUAAAAUCAAACAAGUUCUUUGUGUCGGAACUUAUAUCCGAAAUUUAAUUUGAAUAUUGGGAUUCUAAUUGGAGAGUUAAGACUGUUUAUUAUAAAUUAUUAAUGCUCUUUGGUUAUGACUAUUUUUAAAUAUUUCAAUUCAUUGGAGUACUUUUUUGUGAAUGAAGCAUUUUAGUAUUAAAUACAAUUGCCGCUAUAAUUCUUAUUUAACAAUCAUUUAGUAUAUAUUUUAUGGCAAUUAUAUUUAAUUAUAGCGGCAUUUAUAAUAGUUGUUGAACAAUUAUUUAGUAUAUAUUUUGUGACAAUUAUAAUUAAUUAUAGCGGCAUGUAUAAUAGUUGUUGUUGGGUAGUAUUUAGCGGCAUUUAUUUAGAUUUUUACCAACCGUCAGAACAAAUACCACAAUACCUUUUACCGACCCUACCAAUAGCGGCAAUUGUCAUAAUUGUCAUAAAACAAUUUAGCAGCAAUUAUAAUUGGGUAGAUGAAGGGUUUUUCUCUAAUAGCUCAUGAAGAUGUAUGUAUGCUCUAGCCUAUAUAUAUAUAUAUAUAUAUAUACUAUAUAUAUAAUAUAUAUAUAAUAUAUUAUAAUAAUAUAUAUAUAUAUAUAUAAUAUAUAUAUAUUGCAGGUUUUGACCUAACUAUUUUUUAUUAAUUCUCAUGAUACUCAAAGGAAAGUGAUUUGGAGAUCAAAUUCCACAUAAAAUUGUAUAAAAAAAAUAAAUUCUUUUUUAAAAGUAGUAUAUUUUUGUAACGACUCAAAUUUUGAAAUUAAUGAUUAGCAUCAAUGAUCUGGUGUAGAGGACAUGUUUGAAUUCCGGGUAGGUGCAAUCCAGUUCGCUGUUCCGCCAGAGCCAGAGGAGGGGGGGGUAGGAAGGAAAAGGAGGCGGAGGGGGGGAGAGGGAUGUGAGGAGAACCAGACUUCGAUGGGGCAACAAGAGAGGCAGAGAACACGUCAGGGGGAGGAGGAGGGUCGGGGGAAUAGAGAGACAAGCUGAAGAGAGGAGCGAGCGCGUCAGGUACGGCCGGGGCAGUUUCAACAACUACAAUACAAUCACAUCAAUAAAUUAGUAUCUUAUUAUAUGAGUGUAUCAAUUGUGAAUAUAAUUAGUUAAUAUUCUACUGAUUUGAUUAUUUGUCCUUAACCUAGCAAUACACAACCAACAUUAUUAUAUCUUACAAUCAGGCAAGAAAAAAAUUUAAUUUAAUUUAUGAUCUUAGUUCUCAGAUAUAUAUAUGUACGGACUGAAACCUUUUGUUAGAUCCAAGUCAAAUACGUAUCCUACACCCUUGAACACCCUUAUUUUUUUUAUGGCGAAAACGAUUUUCUCCCUUUUCACUUUCACGGCCACUUCCAUCCAAAACAAACAUGCCCUAAUUGAUGUACUGAUCUUUAUGUACCCAAACAUCAUUCAAUGAAUGUGAUGCAAGGACCACCAAAAAAUAAAAAUUCUUUUGAUUAAAUUAAAGCUCAAUUCUCUUUUACUAUAUAAAGAGUAAUGAACAUGCAACUCAAGCUAUGCAAUUGUAGCAAAAACAUGGGUUUUGUGGUGACCAAGUCUAAACCUUUCUUAGUUGCCCCAUCAAAACCAACCCCUAGGGGGAAACUCCCUCUCUCUCCAAUUGACAAGAUCCAAAUUUUGAGAUCCUUACUUCUUUCAUAUAUACAUGUUUUCGCACACAGCGACGACGGCGGCAGCGUUGAGAUAGUUAACACGAUAAGACGGGCAAUAUCAGAAGCACUAGUUCUGUAUUACCCACUUGCAGGUCGACUCGUGGAUGUAGGGGACGGGGACCUCUCCAUUGAAUGCACUGGAGAAGGAAUAGGCUUCGUCGAGGCAUCGGCAGAUUGUAGCUUGGAGGAUGCGAAUUUCUUGGAGCACCCUUUCGUGAUCCCGUUGGAAGAGCUCGCAGUAGAUCAUCGUGGUUGGAGAGUAACCGAUCCUCCCGUCAUUAUGCAGGUUUCGUAUGACUACAUGGGUUCAUUAAUUCCUUAAUCGAAGAGAGUUGUAAAUAGUGGCAUGAUAACUGUAGUUGUUAGUUCUGAUCAAAGUACAAAUAAAAUAAGUCAUAAAUGAAAUAGAUUGAGUCUACAAUCCUUUGUUACUAGUGCGCCAUUCACUUAUAUUGUACAUUGUUUGCGUGCAUGAGUCCUCCAUAAUCUCCCAAACUUGUUAUCCUUUCAACAAUUAUUUCAAGUCAUUUAUUGGUUAAUUUACAUUAAUAUAUGUUAUGCUUAGAUCUAAGCAUGGGCCGAGAGGCUGACUUGGACCGCUCGAGCCCAAAUCAUAAUGGGUGGUCUUGGGGUUCAUUUCUUGUUAGGCCCAGCCCAGAAUAUAAACGAGUCUUAUAUUGUUUGGAUUUGGAUUUGGAUUUAGCUCUCAAAAACCUAGCUCGAGCCCGGCUUGGCCUAUGAACAGGUCUAUUUAUGACUAAUCUCAAAUUAAUUGGUGUAUUUUGUUAGUAAGCUUACAUAUUACUUACUUUCACCAUGCAUAGGUAACCAAAUUCACCUGCGGCGGAUUCGCCGUCGGCUUUACAUGGCACCACUCACUCGCCGAUGGCACCGGAGCCGCGCAAUUCUUGAAUGCCGUAGGCGAGCUCGCCCGCGGCCUCCCACGCCCAACCGUCGACCCGGUUUGGGCCAGGGAUUCUCUACUCGAUCUUUGCCCGAAUAUCUCCUCAUUACCUUCAUCGACUCCGAACUUACUCGAGUUAGAGUGCUCCGAGCUGAACGUGCCCUUAGAUUACAUCAAUCAAACUAAGGAAAACUUCUUUCGACAAACCGGGCAAUCGUGCACCGCAUUUGACAUCGCCUUGGCCACAAUUUGGCAGUGUCGGACACGGGCGAUAGGCUUAGAACCUACCGAACCAGUGCGGGUGUAUUUCGCUGUGAAUGUUCGUGAAAUGCUACAAGCUCAACCUGGCUACUAUGGAAAUAGCAUUUUUUGCCAAACCGUCUCAUCAACCAGUCAGGAGAUCACAGAGGCGCCCACCGUCGAGAUUAUUAAAAUCAUUAGACAUGCCAAGGGUACGGUUUCGACCGAACUAGCUAAAUGGAAGAACGGUUCAUUGAAAGACUACCCUAUGGAGCAUGUCGAUCUUAGCUACAAUGCGUUUUACGCAACUUACUUGAAAUAUUUAGGGUUUGACCACGCCGAUUAUGGAUCAGGUAAGCUGGUUCGGAUGACCAUACAUAAUGAAUAUAAAUUCUCCCCCUUUUGCAUGCUAGGUUUACCGCAUACUCGGAAAAAUGGGGUUUAUAUAAGUGCGCGUAUUAUUAGGAAGGAACACUUAGAGGCAUUCCGCGAGGAAAUAAAGUUGCUUAAAUAAUUUGAAAGGAAAGAGGUUGUCAUCACCAAUAAUAAUAUGAAUGUUUUGUAUCGACGACUUAGUUCGAUCGCCUUGCGAUCGAAAAUUAUAUUAAUACUUCCUUUGUAAUUUUUAGGGAUAGAUUCUCUUACUCCCUCAAAGGAGUACAUGGCAUAUCUAUGUAUUUCGUUUGUAGCGCACACAAAAGAAAAAGGUUUGGUAAUUACUUGUGUUUAUUUCUUUGUUUGAAAAAUAGAGAACUUUCGAAACUAGAUAGAUAAUUUCAACAUCAUAAAGCAUACCCAAUAUGUGUAACACACGUACCCAACUAUUUAUUUCAUUAAUUAAUGUGUUGCAACUUGUUUUGCUAGCUCUAAAAAGAUAAUUAAUUAAUGCUCCAUAAAGUCGGGCUUGGAUUCGGAUUUAGAUCUAAAAAGCCCGGCUCGAGCCCGGUCCGGCCCAUGAGCAGGUCUAUUUAUGACUAAUCUUUUGGAAUCUUUUGUUUUUUGUUUUUUGUUUUUGGAAUAUUUUGUUAGUAAGCUUACAUCAGUCGAACUAAAGAAGACGACUUUCGACAAACCAUGCAAUCAUGCACCGCAUUUGAUGUGGCCUUGGCCACGAUUUGGCAGUGUCGGACACGGGCAAUAUGAUUAGAACCUACCGAAUCAGUGCGGAUAUAUUUUGCAGUGAAUGUUCGCAAAUGCUACAAGCUCAACCUAGCUACUACCAGAAUAGCAUUUUCUUCCAAGGAUGGCCACUAGUUGUUAAAAGGGAAAAAUGUACAAAGAAUUUAACCCUUAAACUUUAGCACUAUUGUAAACCGGCCCUGAACUUUUAAUUCUGGCAAUUAGACCUCCCUAAACUUUAUCACAUAAUUUAAUAGUCGCUGGUAUUACAUAUAAUCUUAUAAGAUUUUAUUGUAUCAUAAAAAAAAAGUAAUAAACAUUGAAGACAAAUUCACUUUACUCCUCAUUCCUGAUGCUUAGUUAUCAUAACCGGAAGAGAAAAAAUAGAUAUCUUUGUAUUUUGAAGUUACACAAAAUUAUGUACAAGACAUGCACGUGAUCAAAACGGUUGUUAAUUUAGCAACUUUUCUCGGACAGAGAGGCUUACUAAACUUUUCAAAGUUUAGGGGGCUUUAUACAUUUUUGUACCCCUAUCAUAAUAAAAAAAUGAAAAAGUCCUUUUCUAGGGUUUUGGGACCACUAAUCAAAUGGCUAAGAUUAACCCUCCUUGCCUACCCUUUUUUUUUUUUCUUUUUUUUUUUUCUAUUAUCUUAAUCAAAUAGAGACAACCAGAAAAAGCCCAAAUCAGCAGCAGGGUACAUCUGAAUGAACAUUGUGAGAUUGAUUGUAACCAGAUCUCUUAGCCCAGGUUGCAUCUGAAUGAACAACUUGAGAUUGUACCUUAGUCUCCUGGAUCCUGAUUCUAAUAUUAAUCGAUCGAUUCGCCUGAGUCUAAUCACUAUUUAUUAACUGAAUCGAUCUGACCAUAUUCAAUGUACAUAUAUAUGUCAUUGCAGCCCAAAUACAUAGUUAUAAAUGUAAUAGCGCGCACUCCUUAAACUAUACACCAUUUGUAGGGGUGGAAACUAGCAUAGCUCGAGCGAGUUUAUCUCAGUUCAAAUUUGAUUUGAAAUUAAUUUUGAACCUAAAUUUAGGCUCAAAUUCGGCUUGAAAUUAAUUCAAGCGGGAGCUCAAGUAAGCCUGAAUGCUUGAAAUUCUUAUUAUCAUGCAAUCUAUAGUUUAAUUUUCAUAUAACAUUAUUUAGAAUUUGAUACAAAAGUAUAUUUAAUAGUUCAACAUACAAAAUAAAUAUAUAAAAUACAGUAUUAUAAUAUUAAAAAAAAUAAUUUAUUAGUUGAUAUAUCUAACCAUGUAAGGAAAGGAGAGAGUCACCGUCUAUGUAUCACAGACACUUCUAUAAGUCUCGCGUGUCCGUGUCGGAUACAUGUCCGAUGUGGAUAAUUCUUAGACACGUGUUAAAUCACAAUAUCAUAGUGCAAACAAUUAAAAAAAAAUAUGCACAUAUUUUUAUUGUACUUUUUAUUAUAUAUAUUAAUAAUAAGAUGAUAAAUAUUUUGAUUUUUUUAAGAAUGCAUAUAAAUUUUUUUUGACAAUAUAAAAUAAAUUACAUAUAGUGGUGAUUUUUUUCUUCUUAAAAUAAAUAUAUGAGCUGUCAAUAAAAAUUUUACUAACUUUCAUUUAUAUGAGAAAUAUAAUAAUAUAUUAUGAAAAUUAGUAUUUUAUAUAUAAUAAAUAUAUAUUAUUAUAUCAAUAAUAUUAUAUUUUAUUACUAGUGUCCAUGUCAUGUCCGUAUUCUAAUUUUUUGAAAAAAGCCGAGUCACCGUUUCCGAGUCGUGUCACGUCCCGUAACUUGUGUCAGUGUCUGUGACGCCUAGGUCACCGCACUCGCUGGAGGAGAGGAAGAGGGCGGCAAGUGAGGGAUUGGAGGACAAAGAAACAGUGGCCGAGGAUAGGGCGGCAUCGAGGCUGCGCGCGGCAACGACGGUUUCGACCUACUAACUCGCCGAUACGUUCUGAAUUGCAAAAGUAUAUAACUUAAUGGUUAUUACUUAUUGGUAUCUGUUUGAUCCAACUUCUGAAAUAAUGAAAAAGUUAUUUGUCCUUUGUUGGGAAUCCGGUAUUCGCUCCGGUACCGGAUCUUGUGAAUCCACAACCCGCUUCGAUACCGACUGCUGUGGAUCCGGUACCAAUUGUUGGGAUUCCGCAACGGAAACGUCGAAUCGGAUUUUUACCAUAAACCCAUCUCCUCAGCAAAAGCUGAUACAAUCACAAAAAAGAAAAAAAUCGAAACAGAAAAUAUGCAGAUAAAAUAAGAUUCAUUAAAUAAAAGAAUAUUACACCUGACUCUUCUUCUGCAAUAGAGUAGUUAUAACUCGAGCCCUCUUUCUGAAUCUCUUCUAUUCUUCUCUCGUCUUUUAUAAAUCUAAAAGACAACUCUCUUUCUCUUUUACAUGCACCCGUACACUAGGUGCAUGCAAUCGGCCAACUCUCCCUCUCUGGUACAAACCCACCAAAGAGCUUCAACUUUUUGGCCGUUCUCUCUCUCUCCAAAAGCACUCAACAUGGUGCUUAUAUAAUGCUUACAAUAAAAGUACCCAAAUCCUAGUAUAUUUAGAAUUCCCACUUUAAUAAAUAUUUAAAUCUAUAUUUCGUUUAUCUCUAAUAGACUUAAAUAUUUAUUCUAACCUAAUUAGAUUCAUACUCUAAUUAAUAUUUAAAUCUUAAUAUAUCUCCAACAGAUUUAAAUAUUAAUCCUUAUCCAACUAGAAUUAAUAUACAAAUUUAACCAAAUCCUAACAUCCUUAACCUAGUAAUACUUGUUAGUGUCUGUUUGAUCUAACUUCUGAAAUAAUGAAAAAGUUAUUUGUCCUUAACCUAGCAAUACACAACCAACAUUAUAUCCUACAAUCGGGCAACAAAAAAAAUUUAAUGUAGUUUAGAAGUUAGGAUCUUAGUUUUCAGAUACGUACUUAAACCUUUUGUUAGAUCCAAUCCAACUAAAAUAUGUAUCCUAUACCCUUUAACACCCCCUAUUUUUCUUUUUCUUUUUUUUGCUCAUGAAACUACCCAAAUAUCUUUCAAUGAAUGUGAUGGAAAGGACCACCAAAAAAUAGAGAUUUUUUUGAUUGAAUUAAAGCUCAAUUCUCUUCCUAUAUAAAGAGUAAUGAACAUGUAACUCAAGCUAUGCAACUCUAGCUAAAACAUGGGUUCAGUGGUGACCAAUUUUAAACCUUUCUUAGUUGCCCCAUCAAAACCAACCCCUAGGGGGAAACUCCCUCUCUCUCUCCAAUUGACAAGACCCAAAAUUUAAGAUUCUUAUUUGUUUCAUCUAUACAUAUUUUCGCACACGGUGACAGCGGCAGCGACGUUGAGAAAGUUAAUACAAUAAAACAUGCAAUAUCGGAAGCACUAGUUCUGUAUUACCUGCUUGCAAGUCGACUUGUGGGUGUAGGGGACGGGAAAAGGAUAGGCUUUGUCGAGGCGUUGGCGGAUUUUUGCUUGGAGGAUGUGAAUUUCUUAGAACACCCUUCCGUGAUCCCGUUGGAAGAGCUUGUAGUUGGAGAGUAACCAAUUCUCCCGUCAUUAUGCAGGUUUCGUAUGACUACAUAGGUUCAUUAAUUCCUUAAUAGAAAAGAGUUGUAAAUAGUGACGUGAUAAGUGUAGUUGUUAGUUCUAGUCAGAGUACAAAUGAAUAUAGUCAUAAAUAAAUUAGAUUGAGUCUUCAAUCGUCUGUUCACUAGUACGCCAUUCACCAAUAUUGUACAUUGUUUGCGUGCACGAGUCCUCCAUAAUCUCGUAAACUUGUUAUUUUGUCAACAAUUAUUUCAAGUCAUUUGUUGGUUUACAUUAAUAUGUUAUGCUUAAAUCUAAUCAUCAUGGGCCGAGCGGCUGACUUGGACCGCUCUAGCCCAAAUCAUAAUGGGUGGUCUUUGGGUCACUUCUUGUUAGGCCCAGCCCAGAUAUAAACGAGUCCGGUUUGGAUUUGGAUUUGGAUUUGGAUUUGGAUCUAGUUCUCAAAAACCUAGCUUGAGGUGGGCUUGGCCUAUGAACAGGUCUAUUUAUGACUAAUCUUUUGGUGUAUUUUGUUAGUAAGCUUACAUAUUACUCACUUUCACCAUGCAUAGGUAACCAAAUUCACGUGCGGUGGAUUCGCCCUCGGCUUUGGAUGGCACCACUCACUCCGCGAUGGCACGGGAGCCGUGCAAUUCUUGAAUGCCGUAGGCAAGCUCGCUCGCGGCCUCCCACGCCCAACCUUUGGAGUGGCACUCGCGGAGCGCUACCCCAACCGAGUGUAGUAUUACUGUCAAACUCAAUAAAGCAUGCAGCCUGUGGUCAAAUAUGAUGAUCAAACAGAUCAUAAUACAGUUAUAGUCUCACACUAUUUAUAGCUGUCUAUUAAUCUCUAAAAAAAUAUCACACACGCGCGCGCGCACGCGCGCGCGCACAACACACACACACACACAUAUAUAUAUAUAGGGGCAAUUUCACCACUACCCCUCUUAAAUAUCUAAAUAUCGUAAAUACCCUAUAAAAUUGAAAAUAUUAUAUAUACCCCUUCAAAUGUAAAAAUUAUCACAAAUACCCUUUUUCAAACAGACGUUAUGAUUAGGUUAUAAAAUGACUAAUUUACCUCGGUUGGGGUGUUCUUUGGGAGCAACUAAUAAAGAAAUAAUUUCAUAAAUAUCCUUCAAAUUUUAAAAAUAAUAUUUUUAGUACUAAUUAUUGGGUAGAUAAAAUAUGUGGAAACAUCAUCUAACCGCACAUCUCUUAAUCCAAUGGACACAAAUCUACAACCACUAAUAAACUUGAUACUUUUAAAAUAUAGGAGCUCAAUUAAUAAUAUAUAUAUAUUAUUCAAAGCUAGGGCCAUGCAAAUGGACUAAUGGGUGAGCGGGUCUUCAUACAAUGUUAUUUUUUUGUUGACAAUAAAUGUGCAAUUAAAAAACUGUGCUUGAUUGGGUCAUAUGAAAAUACUAAUAUCAAAAAAAAUUUAUAUCAAAACAUUUUUGUAUGACUUAUGUGAGUUAUUUAAAUAAAAUUCAAAAAAAUUAAACUUUGGAAUUAAUAUUGAAUAUUACAAUGGAAUAUUGCAUUACAACUAUAUAUAAUUUACAUGCGAAAAAUAUAACAAGAUUUAAUUAUUACACUUAAUAGACUAUAGAUAUAUUAAUUGUUAAAUUUUAAAAAGAAUGUUGAAUUAUUAUGUGAUUGAAAGGUUAAGAAUUGAUCUUGAUCAUGUAAUUAAUCUUAAAUUAUUACACUUAGUUAAAUUAGUAAUUAAUAAGGGUAAAAUGGGUAUUUAGAGAAUAUUAGAUGACUUUUUAACGGAAUGUUAAUCUUAAGGGUAUUUGUGAAUAUUUUUGUUUUAUAGAGGGGUAUUGCUGAUAUUUUGUAAUUUAUAGGGGCAUUUAUGAAAUUCCUAUCUCUUAGAAAGGGUAUUGAUGAAAUUAUUCCAUAUAUAUAUAUAUGUCGGAAACUAUUAAUAGUACCAAGCUGUUGGUGCUAUUAGUUUUUUAACUCUUGGAUUGGGAAUAUGCGGUUAGGAUGAUGUGGCCCUCUAGGGUUGAGUGGGUAGUUGGUUGAAUAGUAUAAUCUAAUAGGUAAAAAAAAUUAAAGAAUUAAAUCUAUAAGGUGGACAAACUCGAUAGCACCAAAUACUUAGUGCUAUCGAUAGUAUUCCAGUCGGACUCUCUCUCUCUCUCUCUCUCUCUCUCUCUCUCUCUCUCUCUCUCUCUCUCUCUCUUCUAUAUAGUAUAUAUAUAUAACACACACUGUCAUCGUCAAAGACGGCGGAAGAGAGUCGAAGCGGGGAAAAAAAAAAAAUGUCGCGUGCGGGCUCGGCGGGGUAGGAGGAGAGGAAGGCGGGGAGGUGCGCGCGGGGCGAGGCAUGAGGGUGAAAUGCGACGCAGGUUGUUUCGCCUUCGCCUCUGCGCCUUCUUCGGAGAGAGAGAAAAAAUGAACAAGAGAAAAAAAAAAAAAAAAAAAAAAAAAAGAGAAAAAGUAAUAAGGGUAUUUUGGUCAGUUUACUGAAAAUUAGGAAAGAAUCUGUAAAAUCGAAAAAGGCAAUCUAGUUUUGCAAAAGCUCAAAAGUUAUGAAUUUUUUAUGCAGAUUUGCCUUUCUUUUUCUUUCUAAUAUGCUUAUAUGCUUAUCUACUGAUGGGAAUUUUCAUCACUGAGGAAACUUAUCACAAGGAAGUAUAAUUUGUCUGAAAUCUGAUUUGGUAUAAUAAAGCCUUUCUUUAUGGCACGUAAUUAAGGUGUAAUGUGAUGUUUAUGUCGUGUCUGAUUAAACUCCAUUCAUAAGCGCUCCUUGUCCACAAAUUUCUUUUAAUUUAAUUAGUAUACGUAUCUCUAUUUAUUAGUCCUAAUUAUUCAUGUUGUUUUGGAGCUACUUGGAAGAAAUUUCAUGUUGAUUGUCUUUUUUGUAGUCUAAGUUCUCUAAUCGUAUUCGAUAAUUCCCCAAUAAUAGUGUUUUUAGUGGAGGAUUGUUGAGCAAUCAAAAUGCCGUAUGAGUCUAAUUUUCGAUGUAAAUCAAGUAAUAAAUGUAUGAUAGUAUUAUUUUGUCUUAUAAAAAUUUGUUUUGUUGUACUAGAUACAUUAUAAUCGUAAAACCACCCUUAGCUAGCCAUGUAUGAUUUGACUAAUCUACAAGUUAUAUUAUAUAUAUUAUUAUAUAUUAUUAAAACGAAUAGAUGCACUUGUUUUAACAGUUUUAAUAGUUAUUAUUAAUUUGUUUUAAUAGUUUGAAAGUAUUCAAUUAAAGCAUUAAUACAUGCUAUAAAUUUUUUUUUUUUUAUUAUAUUAAAGCUCCGUUAUCUUAGGUAGUGUUUGGUUUGAAAACAAGUGGAAUAAGCCCUUAUUCUCCCCUUUGUUCCCAAACGUCAUGUUUGGUAUCCGAAAAUAGUAAUUCUCGAAUUUCUGAAUAAGCUAGUAUAGGACUGGAACAACUGUUCCAUCUUUUUUUCCUGAAACAAACUUGUUCCCAAGUUGGAACAAGGUUAAGUAUGGUCUAAAUUUAAUUCUAAUUAUGGUAUUAAAUUAUUAAUUAAUAUAAUUAAUAUAUUUAAAUCAUUAUUUAUUGUUUAAAUAAUAAAAUGAUUUAUUUAUUUAUUAUAUAAUUAAUUAUUAAUAAUUUAAUGUAUUUAUCUAUAAACUAAUAUAUUUAUAAAGAUCAACCAUUAAUAUUUCUAUUAAUCUAAUUAAACUUUUUUAUUGGUUAUCUAGCUAAAAUAAUUCACUAACUAAUUAAAAAAUUAAAUUAUUUUUUAUAAUUAAUUAAUUAAUUAAUUAAUNAUUAUGAUUUGGGUUAAACCGGAACUCCCGUAUGUUAUAUAUUUAUAUAUAACUUAAUGUAAAAAUGUUAAAUCACGUACAUCCAUCAAAUACGUGUUCAGAUACAUGCCAACCGUUAUAUCUACCAUAUCUUUAUAAAUCAUUUUGAAUAGAUCAAUUGUAUCUUUAGGCAGUGCUUGGUUCGGGAACAAGAGGGGAACAAGCCCUUAUUCCCCUCUUUGUUUCUGAACACUGAAGGAACAACCUAAUUUUCAUGUAAAUUAUUUUAAAUUUAUUAAUUAAAUUUACUACUAAUAAAUUUAUUAAAUUAUUUUUAAGUAAUAUUUUGAUAUUAAUUAAUUAGAUAAAAUAAUUUUAAUUUAAAAUUAUAACUCUUAUUUUUCUUGUUCCAAUCUAACCAUCCAAACACUAUUUACCUUAUUCCUAACAAUAACCCCAAUUUUCAUUUAAAUGUAAAAUUGGUUUAAUUCUUACUUAUACCUGAGCUUGCACAUAUUCCUGAAAUAAGCAGUUCUUAUUUAUACCCGAAUGAAACGCAGCCUUACUUAGGGGUGCAAACGAGCCGAACACGAGCGAGCACGGCCUUAUUCGUAUUCGGUCGUAUUAGAUUCGAGCCGAAUUCGAGCUGACUCGAAUUAAUUUCGAGCCAGAAUAAGACCCUUUCGAGUUCGGCUCGAAAUCAAAAUCGAGCCAAAUUCGAGCAGCUCGAAAUAUUUUUUUUAUUUUAUUUUUCGAGCUAAUUUCAAGCCAUGUUCAAAUUUGGCUCGGAAUUGUUUGAUUCCGAGCCAGCUCGUUAAUAGCUUGAAAUUCUUUAUUUUUCUUUACUUUUUUCAAUUUUAAAUGUUUAUGAAUAUUUGCCAAUAUUACAUUAUAUAAAUUUAGCUACAAUCCAAAUAAAACUACAAUCAAUAUAAUUAUAACCAACAUACGUGCUUAAAUGCACGCAACAAUUAAAAAAAAUCUCAAGAAUAAUUUGAAAUUUGAAAAUAACUUACAUCUCUAUAUUGGCUCCCAUUUCCAAUUGCUUGAAGAUAAAUAGAGCUAUUUUGGAGAUAAAAAGAAAUUAAGCAAAUUUCGAAUUAAAAUAUAGAUUCACACUAGAUAUCUUUCGGCUGGUAAAAAUUUGGAUAAGUAUAUUUUUUUUCUAUUUUAGAGAUAAAGAAAAAUUAAAAAGUUUGUUUCAUUACGUUAUUUAUUUUACGUAAGGAAAGAGAAAUCAAUUUUUUUUUUCCGCUAAAAAACUGGUCGGUCGAAAUUUGAAAUACGCGCGUGCUUAUAUAUACUCAUAAGAGUAUCGUAGCUCUAGCAUAU